GAGGGGGUCCUAGCGUUGUUCGGAAUUAUUGGGCGUAAAGCGGGUGUAGGCGGAGUUUAUAAGUCAGAAGUGAAAGUCCUGGGGCUCAACCCAGGAAGGGCUUUUGAUUACUGUAGAUCUUGAGUGUGAUAGAGGAUAGUGGAAUUUCUGGUGUAGUGGUGAAAUACGUAGAUAUCAGAAGGAACAUCGGUGGGGAAGCCGGCUGUCUGGAUCAACACUGACGCUCAGACCCGAAAGCGUGGGUAGCAAACAGGAUUAGAUACCCUGGUAGUCCACGCCGUAAACGAUGGACACUUGGUGUUGGUGGUAUUGACCCCAUCAGUGCCGGAGCAAACGCGUUAAGUGUCCCGCCUGGGGAGUACGGUCGCAAGAUUA
rnacentral:rRNA from 1 species